CCAACUACUUGCAGAGCACUUCUGGAGGCACUUUCUGAAAUACUACCUACCUGACCUUCAGGCACGGCAGAAGUGGAAAACCGAGAAGAGGACAUUAGAAAUUGGGGAUGUAGUCAUGAUAGUUGAUCCUCAACUCCCUCGUGCACUUUGGCCAGUGGGCAGAAUCACACAAGUGUUCCCUGGUGCAGAUGGUCGAGUGCGGACUGCUAAUGUGGAGGUUAAGGGCAAGACUUAUACCCGUAUUGUGGCUCGACUUAUACAGCUUCCAGCUCUACCUGAGGACGAAUAAUGCAUGUUAUGGAUCUUUUGUCAGAUGAGCGAAUUCAGUUCUGAAUUCGGGGGCGGCUGUGCAAAAGGACCACUGAUGUCUACGUCCCGGAUGACACCAACCAAUCAGUGCACAAUGCAACGCAGUAUCAUCGAGGUGGGCUGAGCUAAGAACUAGUUGAGAGCGACAGUGCACACGGGAGAUAACGCUGGCGAUAACACCUGCUAUCAAACUCACUCAGCAAAAAGAGACAAAACAGUCACUACUGGUAUACUGUGCUACAGUGUGCGUGUCUUAAAAAAACCACACAUAUGUUCCAUUGUAUACCAAGUGCUUCAGUAAAUGAAAAUCACAUCUAA